AUACUUGCUUAGACAGUACACUUAGUAAUAUUGGAAUGACACAGAGAAGAUCACCCUUGCCCCUGCGCAAGAAUGACCCCAAAUGUAAAGCACUACCACCCACCCCA